UCCUUGCGUUCAUGUGCACAUCUGGACAAACAGAAAGCAGAGCGAAAGCAGCACUUUCUUGCACUUUCAAAGGCGCACCGAUGACGGACAUCAUCUGAAUUGUCAAGGCAGUCGUCACGAUGCAGGAUGAACACCUCCGAGCAGCACAGAAGGACUCAGGGGCAAGCAGACAGAAGCGAAUGGGGUGGCCGGGUCAUGUCCCUGCCUCUUCCUAACUUGCAGGCGAAAGACCAGAGGACAAAGUGGGGAGAAAGCUACAGGGUCCUAGCUGACUCUUUGGCUCUGGCUUGAGGUUCUUGGAAAUGGUCUGACAGCUGCUUGUUCAUCAGUUUCACAAAGAAGCAAACAGCUCCUAAACGUCGAUUAUUUGUGCAGCUCGGUUCAAGGCUCUCCUCUGGAACCGCGCAGGACAGUUCACAAAGGCACAUGACAAAAGAGCAUGAGAGAGUGGCCGAGAGGUGCAAUGGUCCCAGACCUUUCCUCCGGGAAGCCCUGAGGGUCCGAGUGGAGCCAACUGAGCGAGGGUCCAUAUGGCGUGUGCCGAGAGGAGGGGUGGCAGGGGCAAGCCGCUAGCCCAUGACAUGCCAUGGGCCGUGGACACUCUUCCAGAAUUCCUGUGACGGGAACGGUUUCUCUAGGGUGGCAGUUCUUUGACUUUUUCUGUGCUGGGGCCAUUUCAUGCUCUUGGAAGGGCUUUUGUCUAUGUGGGUUGCAUCUAUUGAUAUUUACCUUACCAAAAAUAAACAGUGAACGGCUUAAAA